rnacentral:rRNA from 1 species
AGGGGAAUAUUGGACAAUGGGCGAAAGCCUGAUCCAGCCAUGCCGCGUGUGUGAAGAAGGUCUUCGGAUUGUAAAGCACUUUAAGUUGGGAGGAAGGGCAUUAACCUAAUACGUUAGUGUUUUGACGUUACCGACAGAAUAAGCACUGGCUAACUCUGUGCCAGCAGCCGCGGUAAUACAGAGGGGGCAAGCGUUAAUCGGAAUUACUGGGCGUAAAGCGCGCGUAGGUGGUUUGUUAAUUUGGAUGUGAAAUCCCCGGGCUCAACCUGGGUACUGCAUUCAAAACUGACUGACUAGAGUAUGGUAGAGGGUGGUGGAAUUUCCUGUGUAGCGGUGAAAUGCGUAGAUAUAGGAAGGAACACCAGUGGCGAAGGCGACCACCUGGACUAAUACUGACACUGAGGUGCGAAAGCGUGGGGAGCAAACA